UGGGGAAUCUUGCACAAUGGGCGCAAGCCUGAUGCAGCCAUGCCGCGUGAGUGAAGAAGGCCUUAGGGUUGUAAAGCUCUUUCACCAGAGAAGAUAAUGACUGUACCUGGAGAAGAAGCCCCGGCUAACUCCGUGCCAGCAGCCGCGGUAAUACGGAGGGGGCUAGCGUUGUUCGGAAUUACUGGGCGUAAAGCGCAUGUAGGCGGAUGAUCAAGUUGGGGGUGAAAGCCCGGGGCUCAACCCCGGAACUGCCCUCAAAACUGGUCGUCUCGAGUACGGGAGAGGUGAGUGGAAUUCCUAGUGUAGAGGUGAAAUUCGUAGAUAUUAGGAAGAACACCAGUGGCGAAGGCGGCUCACUGGCCCGUUACUGACGCUGAGGUGCGAAAGCGUGGGGAGCAAACAGG
rnacentral:rRNA from 1 species